AUGAACGCUGGCGGCGUGCCUAAUACAUGCAAGUCGAGCGAACAGACGAGGAGCUUGCUCCUCUGACGUUAGCGGCGGACGGGUGAGUAACACGUGGAUAACCUACCUAUAAGACUGGGAUAACUUCGGGAAACCGGAGGUAAUACCGGAUAAUAUAUUGAACCGCAUGGUUCAAUAGUGAAAGACGGUUUUGCUGUCACUUAUAGAUGGAUCCGCGCCGCAUUAGCUAGUUGGUAAGGUAACGGCUUACCAAGGCAACGAUGCGUAGCCGACCUGAGAGGGUGAUCGGCCACACUGGAACUGAGACACGGUCCAGACUCCUACGGGAGGCAGCAGUAGGGAAUCUUCCGCAAUGGGCGAAAGCCUGACGGAGCAACGCCGCGUGAGUGAUGAAGGUCUUCGGAUCGUAAAACUCUGUUAUUAGGGAAGAACAAAUGUGUAAGUAACUAUGCACGUCUUAACGGUACCUAAUCAGAAAGCCACGGCUAACUACGUG
rnacentral:rRNA from 1 species